AAUCAACGCUGGCGGCGUGCCUCAGACAUGCAAGUCGAACGCGAAAGUUCCCUUCGGGGAGCGAGUAGAGUGGCGCACGGGUGAGUAACACGUAGGUAAUCUACCUUCGGAUGGGGAAUAACAACCGGAAACGGUUGCUAAUACCGCAUAAUGCAGCGGCACCUAAUGGUGACAGUUGUUAAAGCGGGGGAUCGUAAGACCUCGCGUCUGAAGAGGAGCCUGCGGCAGAUUAGCUAGUUGGUAAGGUAACGGCUUACCAAGGCGAUGAUCUGUAGCCGGCCUGAGAGGGCGGUCGGCCACACUGACACUGACAUACGGGUCAGACUCCUACGGGAGGCAGCAGUCGGGAAUUUUGGGCAAUGGGCGAAAGCCUGACCCAGCAACGCCGCGUGAAGGAUGAAAUCCUUCGGGAUGUAAACUUCGCAAGAACGGGAAGAAUAAGUAAGGGUCAAUAUCCCUUACGAUGACGGUACUGUUUGUAAGCUCCGGCUAACUCCGUGCCAGCAGCCGCGGUAAUACGGGGGGAGCAAGCGUUGUUCGGAUUUACUGGGCGUAAAGGGCGCGUAGGCGGCCACCGCAAGUCGAUUGUGAAAUCUCCGGGCUUAACCCGGAAAGGUCAACCGAUACUGCGGGGCUAGAGUGCAGAAGGGGCAACUGGAAUUCUCGGUGUAGCGGUGAAAUGCGUAGAUAUCGAGAGGAACACCUGCGGCGAAGGCGGGUUGCUGGGCUGACACUGACGCUGAGGCGCGAAAGCUAGGGGAGCGAACGGGAUUAGAUACCCCGGUAGUCCUAGCCUUAAACGAUGAAUGCUUGGUGUCUGGGGUUAUAUAGUCCCCGGGUGCCGUCGCUAACGCUUUAAGCAUUCCGCCUGGGGAGUACGGUCGCAAGACUGAAACUCAAGGAAUUGACGGGGA
rnacentral:rRNA from 1 species